UUCCUCCUCAAUACAUUAUCCCUUCAUCCUUCUUGUGAAAAAUAGCUUUUAAAUUUAUCCCUAUCACACCCAUCCCAAAAGAUUGCUGCCAACAUUCACCUUCUUAAAGUCUUAGCCUUAAACUAGUUGCCGAUCUUACAAAGUAUAACCUUCCACUUGGCUCUAAUUCUCCUUCUCUACCUACCAGGACCUAUAUUACAAUUUUGAGAACAGGUACUAUGGCCAAAUGCCAAACUAAUCUCAUCAUUAAUAUCCCUCUUGAACCAGUUUCUUUUUCCCAAGCCAAAUCCUAUCUAGAAUAGAGAAAUGGCAUGUGUAAGGAAUUUAAUGUGUUAAUUAAAA
rnacentral:lncRNA from 1 species